AUCCAAAUCCACCAUCAACGUUUCAGCUCCUCAUGGAGCUUUCCUGAUGAAAGCUCCAUGAGGAGCUGAAACGUUGAUGGUGGAUU